CUGGAGAUGAUGCAUAAUGUCCUCUGAGUACCCAUGAAGGUGUUUGUAUUCAUACUGUCUGAUCCAG
rnacentral:snoRNA from 1 species